UACGUAGGGGGCUAGCGUUGUCCGGAAUCAUUGGGCGUAAAGCGCGUGUAGGCGGUCCGGUAAGUCCGCUGUGAAAGCCAGGGGCUCAACCCUUGGAUGCCGGUGGAUACUGUCGGGCUUGAGUACGGAAGAGGCGAGUGGAAUUCCUGGUGUAGCGGUGAAAUGCGCAGAUAUCAGGAAGAACACCCAUGGCGAAAGCAGCUCUCUGGGACGGUACUGACGCUGAGACGCGAAAGCGUGGGGAGCGAACAGG
rnacentral:rRNA from 1 species